ACGAACGCUGGCGGCGUGCUUAACACAUGCCAGUCGAACGGAAAGGCCCUGCUUUUGUGGGGUGCUCGAGUGGCGAACGGGUGAGUAACACGUGAGUAACCUGCCCUUGACUUUGGGAUAACUUCAGGAAACUGGGGCUAAUACCGGAUAGGAGCUCCUGCUGCAUGGUGGGGGUUGGAAAGUUUCGGCGGUUGGGGAUGGACUCGCGGCUUAUCAGCUUGUUGGUGGGGUAGUGGCUUACCAAGGCUUUGACGGGUAGCCGGCCUGAGAGGGUGACCGGCCACAUUGGGACUGAGAUACGGCCCAGACUCCUACGGGAGGCAGCAGUGGGGAAUAUUGCACAAUGGGCGGAAGCCUGAUGCAGCAACGCCGCGUGCGGGAUGACGGCCUUCGGGUUGUAAACCGCUUUCGCCUGUGACGAAGCGUGAGUGACGGUAAUGGGUAAAGAAACACCGGCUAACUACGU
rnacentral:rRNA from 1 species